rnacentral:rRNA from 1 species
UACGUAGGGUGCAAGCGUUGUCCGGAAUUAUUGGGCGUAAAGAGCUCGUAGGCGGUCUGUCGCGUCUGCUGUGAAAACUCAGGGCUUAACCCUGAGCUUGCAGUGGGUACGGGCAGACUAGAGUGCGGUAGGGGAGACUGGAAUUCUUGGUGUAGCGGUGAAAUGCGCAGAUAUCAGGAGGAACACCGGUGGCGAAGGCGGGUCUCUGGGCCGAUACUGACGCUGAGGAGCGAAAGCGUGGGGAGCGAACAGG